rnacentral:rRNA from 1 species
CGGGGGGAGCAAGCGUUGUUCGGAUUUACUGGGCGUAAGGGCGCGUAGGCGGCACUGCAAGUCGACUGUGAAAUCUCCGGGCUUAACCCGGAAAGGUCAGCCGAUACUGCGGGGCUAGAGUGCAGAAGGGGCAACUGGAAUUCUCGGUGUAGCGGUGAAAUGCGUAGAUAUCGAGAGGAACACCUGCGGCGAAGGCGGGUUGCUGGGCUGACACUGACGCUGAUGCGCGAAAGCUAGGGGAGCGAACGGGAUUAGAUACCCCGGUAGUCCUAGCCUUAAACGAUGAAUGCUUGGUGUCUGGGGGUUUUAUAGUCCCCGGGUGCCGUCGCUAACGCUUUAAGCAUUCCGCCUGGGGAGUACGGUCGCAAGACUG